rnacentral:rRNA from 1 species
UGGGGAAUAUUGCGCAAUGGGCGAAAGCCUGACGCAGCGACGCCGCGUGAGGGAUGAUGGUUUUCGGAUCGUAAACCUCUGUCAGAAGGGAAGAAACCGCACUGUGCUAAUCAGCAGUGCCUUGACGGUACCUUCAAAGGAAGCACCGGCUAACUCCGUGCCAGCAGCCGCGGUAAUACGGAGGGUGCAAGCGUUAAUCGGAAUUACUGGGCGUAAAGCGCACGUAGGCUGCUUUGUAAGUCAGGGGUGAAAUCCCACGGCUCAACCGUGGAACUGCCUUUGAUACUGCUUAGCUUGAAUCCGGGAGAGGGUGGCGGAAUUCCAGGUGUAGGAGUGAAAUCCGUAGAUAUCUGGAGGAACAUCAGUGGCGAAGGCGGCCACCUGGACCGGUAUUGACGCUGAGGUGCGAAAGCGUGGGGAGCAAACAGG